UACGUAGGGUGCGAGCGUUAAUCGGAAUUACUGGGCGUAAAGCGUGCGCAGGCGGUUGUGUAAGACAGGUGUGAAAUCCCCGGGCUUAACCUGGGAACCGCACUUGUGACUGCACAGCUGGAGUACGGCAGAGGGGGAUGGAAUUCCGCGUGUAGCAGUGAAAUGCGUAGAUAUGCGGAGGAACACUGAUGGCGAAGGCAGUCCCCUGGGCCUGUACUGACGCUCAUGCACGAAAGCGUGGGGAGCAAACAGG
rnacentral:rRNA from 1 species